rnacentral:tRNA from 1 species
GGGGAUGUAGUUCAGUUGGGAGAACGCCUCGCUUGCACCGAGGAGGUCAGCGGUUCAAGUCCGCUCAUCUCCA